rnacentral:rRNA from 1 species
UACGUAGGGGGCAAGCGUUGUCCGGAAUCAUUGGGCGUAAAGAGCGCGUAGGCGGCCCUGUAAGUCCGCUGUGAAAGUCAAGGGCUCAACCCUUGAAUGCCGGUGGAUACUGCAGGGCUAGAGUCCGGAAGAGGCGAGUGGAAUUCCUGGUGUAGCGGUGAAAUGCGCAGAUAUCAGGAGGAACACCAGCGGCGAAGGCGGCAUCCUGGUCCUGUACUGACGCUGAGGCGCGAGAGCGUGGGGAGCGAACUGG